rnacentral:lncRNA from 1 species
GCCGGACACACACUCAUUUAUGUCUUAAAUGAAAAUUCUUCUCCCAAAAGCUAUUACCGUAUACAUACUCCAAAAAAUAAAAGGUCACAUUGCAUUGAACCAAUUAAAAGAUUUAAAUUAAGCAAAUGCAUCUAACAUUGAAACACCAUACAGAAAAACACACUCUAGCAAAAGUAAAAACGUAGCAUCGGAAAUUAAAUGAAUUAAUGUGCUUCUAC